GACGAACGCUGGCGGCGUGCUUAACACAUGCAAGUCGAACGGAAAGGCCCUGCUUUUGUGGGGUGCUCGAGUGGCGAACGGGUGAGUAACACGUGAGUAACCUGCCCUUGACUUUGGGAUAACUUCAGGAAACUGGGGCUAAUACCGGAUAGGAGCUCCUGCUGCAUGGUGGGGGUUGGAAAGUUUCGGCGGUUGGGGAUGGACGCGCGGCUUAUCAGCUUGUUGGGGGGGUAGUGGCUUACAAAGGCUUUGACGGGUAGCCGGCCUGAGAGGGUGACCGGCCACAUUGGGACUGAGAUACGGCCCAGAGUCCUACGGGAGGCAGCAGUGGGGAAUAUUGCACAAUGGGCGGAAGCCUGAUGAAGCAACGCCGCGUGCGGGAUGACGGCCUUCGGGUUGUAAACCGCUUUCGCCUGUGACGAAGCGUGAGUGACGGUAAUGGGUAAAGAAGCACCGGCUAACUACGUG
rnacentral:rRNA from 1 species